GUGCUAUCCACGGAAGCCGGCUCCUCCACUCAGGCCCUCCUCUGCAACGCCGACGAGGACGCUACUUCGUCUGAACCGAUCUUCACGACCACGUGCAGGUAUACACAUGUGCUCCCCUGCCACCCCUGCACUGAUUUAAGGCGAAAUCCAAUUGGGAGUUAUUGAUAGGCACCAAUGUAUUCUUGGUUCAGUUCCCCUGUCUUGAAUUACGUUGAUCCUUUUGGUGAGAUCAAACUGAACAUGCUGAACAUCACUUGCCCAAACUAGCUGAACGCCUUGCUACAUUAUUGCCCAAUUUUGUAAAAUUGAUCAUAGCACUCCUGCUAUCAUGUCAUGUUUGCUAAUACUUAUUGAGCCAUAAAACGAUGUUUUCUGUUUAUAGGCUAGCCCUUCUUAUUAUGUUUCAGAAGAUCGAUAGUACCCAUUACAUUACUACAGUAUAGUGUAAUAUGAGAACCUGAGUUUUGGUUGCCAAGCAAAUGUUUGUGCUAAUUCCCACAAGAAAUUUUUGUUUGAAGAAUUAUUACUUCAUCAGGGAAAUAUCUUUUAUAUGGCUUCAUGAAAUCAAAUAUGACACUAGAUUUGCAGAAUGACUAAGCGACAUAGGAAACUGAUUUAGCACUACCUCAUUAAACAUGAAGACUUAUUCUUGAUUUUGUGCUGAUGUUUCAGAUGGAAUUUUUUUCAUAUGACAUUAGGGAUGUAGGAUGAUUGGGUGAACAAGCUUCCUGUGAAACAUCCAGAUCCCGGUGGCGGUGCCUCCGUUCAGCAUCCCACGCGGCGACGUCCUCCGGCAUAAUGGCAAACAUCGGCAGGGGAGAGAGAAGAGCGGGAGGGGUAUUGGGUCCAUACCAUUGUGGGCAUUGCCAGUGCCAUGAUUGUGGUUAAUACCCACAGGAGAUUCUAUUCCUGUGAGCGGAUUAAACAGAGUUGAGUAAACAUCAUCCAUAGGAGAUACAUGUGCUAAUUAAGUUUAGAGGAGAAAGUGGUUCUUUAUUCUUGUAAUUUUGGUGCAGAUGUCAUACAGGGGCAGAGAACAAUGGUCUUUUGGGAAUGCCUGAUAACUUUUUGGAGCUGCCAG
rnacentral:lncRNA from 1 species